CUCUUUCUAUGUAAAAAAGCGUAUCGAACAAGAGGCCGUCAAUGAAAUUGAGCUGACAUUUGGAUCCCUGAGAUCAAAUUACAUAAGGAUAGCGUAAGGAACCCUUCAGAAAAAAUCCGUUGUGAGAAAACAUGCAUUUUUCUAUUUAAUAAAUCCAUGUAAUAUUCU